rnacentral:rRNA from 1 species
UACGUAGGCAGCAAGCGUUGUUCGGAGUUACUGGGCGUAAAGGGUGCGUAGGCGGCUUUUUAAGUUUGGUGUGAAAUCUCCCGGCUCAACUGGGAGGGUGCGCCGAAUACUGAGAGGCUAGAGUGUGGGAGAGGAAAGUGGAAUUCCUGGUGUAGCGGUAAAAUGCGUAGAUAUCAGGAGGAACACCGGUGGUGUAAACGGCUUUCUGGACCAUAACUGACGCUGAUGCACGAAAGCGUGGGUAGCAAACAGG